GACGAACGCUGGCGGCGUGCUUAAUACAUGCAAGUCGAACGGACGUAGCAAUACGUUAGUGGCGGACGGGUGAGUAAUAAUUGAGUAACGUGCCUUUAUCUGGGGAAUAACGUUUGGAAACGGACGCUAAUACCGCAUAUGACCACAACGCGGCAUCGCGAAGGGGUGAAAGAUUUAUUGGAUAAAGAGCGGCUUAAUCAUGAUUAGUUAGUUGGUGUGGUAACGGCACACCAAGACAUCGAUCAUUAACCGGCCUGAGAGGGUGAACGGUCACACUGGAACUGAGAAACGGUCCAGACUCCUACGGGAGGCAGCAGUAGGGAAUAUUGGGCAAUGGAGGAAACUCUGACCCAGCAACGCCGCGUGAAUGAAGAAGGUUUUCGGAUUGUAAAGUUCUUUUAUAGGGGAAGAAAAAAAUGACGGUACCCUAUGAAUAAGCCCCGGCUAACUUCGUGCCAGCAGCCGCGGUAAUACGAAGGGGGCAAGCGUUGUCCGGAAUGACUGGGCGUAAAGGGUGUGUAGGCGGCGAUUUGCGUCGUAUGUGAAAGCCCCGGGCUUAACUCGGGAACUGCGUACGAUACGGGAUUGCUUGAAUGUGGGAGAGGUUCGUGGAAUUUGUGGUGUAGCGGUAGAAUGCGUAGAUAUCACAAGGAACAUCAGAGGCGAAGGCGGCGAACUGGACCAUUAUUGACGCUGUGACACGAAAGCGUGGGGAGCAAACAGGAUUAGAUACCCUGGUAGUCCACGCCCUAAACGAUGAAUACUAAAUGUCAGGGGUAUCGACUCCCUUGGUAUUGUAGCUAACGCGAUAAGUAUUCCGCCUGUGUAGUACGGCCGCAAGGUUGAAACACAAAGAAAUUGACGGGGACCCGCACAAGCAGCGGAGCAUGUGGUUUAAUUCGACGAUACGCGAAAAACCUUACCAGGACUUGACAUCCUUUGCAUAGGUGGGAAACCACCGAAUAGCGAUCACAUCAAUCAAAGUGACAGAUGGUGCAUGGUUGUCGUCAGCUCGUGUCGUGAGAUGUUCGGUUAAGUCCGUCAACGAGCGCAACCCCUGCUAUCAGUUGCCAGCAUUAAGUUGGGCACUCUGGUGGGACUGCCGUAGUUAAUACGGAGGAAGGUGGGGAUGACGUCAAAUCAUCAUGCCUCUUACGUUCUGGGCUACACACGUGCUACAAUGGUGACUACAAAGAGUUGCAAAAUGGUAACAUAGAGCCAAUCUCAAAAAAGUCAUCUCAAUUCGGAUUGUGGGCUGAAACCCGCCCACAUGAAGUCGGAGUUGCUAGUAAUCCCGGAUCAGCACGCCGGGGUGAAUGCGUUCCCGGGUC
rnacentral:rRNA from 2 species